GAUGAACGCUGGCGGCGUGCCCAAUACAUGCAAGUCGAGCGAACAGACGAGGAGCUUGCUCCUCUGACGUUAGCGGCGGACGGGUGAGUAACACGUGGAUAACCUACCUAUAAGACUGGGAUAACUUCGGGAAACCGGAGCUAAUACCGGAUAAUAUAUUGAACCGCAUGGUUCAAUAGUGAAAGACGGUUUUGCUGUCACUUAUAGAUGGAUCCGCGCCGCAUUAGCUAGUUGGUAAGGUAACGGCUUACCAAGGCAACGAUGCGUAGCCGACCUGAGAGGGUGAUCGGCCACACUGGAACUGAGACACGGUCCAGACUCCUACGGGAGGCAGCAGUAGGGAAUCUUCCGCAAUGGGCGAAAGCCUGACGGAGCAACGCCGCGUGAGUGAUGAAGGUCUUCGGAUCGUAAAACUCUGUUAUUAGGGAAGAACAAAUGUGUAAGUAACUAUGCACGUUUUGACGGUACCUAAUCAGAAAGCCACGGCUAACUACGUG
rnacentral:rRNA from 1 species